rnacentral:misc_RNA from 1 species
GAAAUGCGAUACUUGGUGUGAAUUGCAGAAUCCCGUGAACCAUCGAGUUUUUGAACGCAAGUUGCGCCCGAAGCCUUUGGCUAAGGGCACGUCUGCCUGGGCGUCACGCAUCGCGUCUCCCCCACACCAAUCACAUUGGUGGGGAAGGAUGAUGGCUUCCCGUGCCUCUCCGGGUGCGGUUGGCUUAAACUUGGAGCCCACGGUAAAUAUUUGCCGCGGCGAUAGGUGGUGAACUUGGCUUAGGCCGUGUAAACAACCCGUUGCGGUGUGUUAGUGUGGGCUCGUUGGACCCAAUGUUUUGCAUUGUGCAAUUCAAACCUUUGCGACCCCAGGUCAGGCGGGGCUACCCGCUGAAUUUAA